GCAGCAGCAGCAGAAGAAGAAGAAUCCGAAGAAGCCCAAGAGAAGGAGUGAGAAGGAAAUGGAGGAGAAGGAGAAGGAGAAGGGUAGGAUGGUCUUUUGCGAAGAAACCUGUGGUGGGUCCUGAAGGAGAGUUUGUGAGGAGGUGUUGGAGGUGAAAUUGAAGCCAUGAAGGGUUAGUGAUGGAUUUGAAUGUAAAAAUCAAAUUUGAAAGAGCAGAGAUUGAAUUGAAGGUGUGGUGUGGAUGAGACCGAGAGAGGAGCAGUAUCAGGUGACACAGAACUACAAGACAGAAAGCUGUUUUGAUUUCGAAGACGAAAGGUGGGGUGGUGG
rnacentral:misc_RNA from 1 species